CCUACGGGUGGCAGCAGUGAGGAAUAUUGGUCAAUGGACGGAAGUCUGAACCAGCCAUGCCGCGUGCAGGAAGACGGCUCUAUGAGUUGUAAACUGCUUUUGUACAAGGGUAAACCUGAAGAGGUGUAUUCAGCUGAAAGUACUGUACGAAUAAGGAUCGGCUAACUCCGUGCCAGCAGCCGCGGUAAUACGGGGGGUGCAAGCGUUGUCCGGAAUCAUUGGGCGGAAAGAGUUCGUAGGUGGCACGUUAAGUCUGGUGUUAAAGGCGGAAGCUCAACUUCCGUAGGGCACUGGAUACUGGCGAGCUUGAAUGCGGUAGAGGUAAAGGGAAUUCCUGGUGUAGCGGUGAAAUGCGUAGAUAUCAGGAGGAACAUCGGUGGCGUAAGCGCUUUACUGGGCCGUAAUUGACACUGAGGAACGAAAGCCGGGGUAGCAAAUGGGAUUAGAUACCCCUGUAGUC
rnacentral:rRNA from 1 species